GAGUUUGAUCCUGGCUCAGAACGUACGCUGGCGGCACGCCUAACACAUGCAAGUCGAACGAAGUAGCAAUACUUAGUGGCAGACGGGUGAGUAACAUGUAGGUAUCUGCCCUUAGGCCUGGAAUAACACGAGGAAACUUGUGCUAAUACCGGAUAAGUCUUUACGGAGAAAGCUUUAUGCACCAUUGGAUGAGCCCGCACUUGAUUAGUUUGUUGGUGGGGUAAUGGCCUACCAAGACUGUGAUCAAUAGCUGAUUUGAGAGGAUGAUCAGCCACAUUGGGACUGAGACACGGCCCAAACUCCUACGGGAGGCAGCAGUGGGGAAUCUUGCACAAUGGAGGAAGCUCUGAUGCAGCGAUGCCGCGUGAGUGAAGAAGGCCCUUGGGUUGUAAAGCUCUUUCGUCGGGGAAGAAAAUGACUGUACCCGAAUAAGAAGGUCCGGCUAACUUCGUGCCAGCAGCCGCGGUAAUACGAAGGGACCUAGCGUAGUUCGGAAUUACUGGGCUUAAAGAGUUCGUAGGUGGUUGAAAAAGUUAGUGGUGAAAUCCCAGAGCUUAACUCUGGAACUGCCAUUAAAACUUUUCAGCUAGAGUAUGAUAGAGGAAAGCAGAAUUUCUAGUGUAGAGGUGAAAUUCGUAGAUAUUAGAAAGAAUACCAAUUGCGAAGGCAGCUUUCUGGAUCAUUACUGACACUGAGGAACGAAAGCAUGGGUAGCGAAGAGGAUUAGAUACCCUCGUAGUCCAUGCCGUAAACGAUGUGUGUUAGACGUUGGAAAUUUAUUUUCAGUGUCGCAGGGAAACCGAUAAACACACCGCCUGGGGAGUACGACCGCAAGGUUAAAACUCAAAUGAAUUGACGGGGACCCGCACAAGUAGUGGAGCAUGUGGUUUUAUUCGAAGAUACGCGCAGAACCUUACCAACACUUGACAUGUUCGUCGCGACUCUAAGAGAUUAGAGUUUUCGGUUCGGCCGGACGAAACACAGGUGCUGCAUGGCUGUCGUCAGCUCGUGUCGUGAGAUGUUGGGUUAAGUCCCGCAACGAGCGCAACCCUCACUUUUAGUUGCCAUCAUUAAGUUGGGCACUCUGAAAGAACUGCCAGUGAUAAGCUGGAGGAAGGUGGGGAUGACGUCAAGUCCUCAUGGCCCUUACGUGUUGGGCUACACACGUGCUACAAUGGUAUNUACAACAGGAAGCAAGACUGCGAAGUUAAGCAAAUCCCUAAAAGAUACCUCAGUUCGGAUUGCACUCUGCAACUCGAGUGCAUGAAGCUGGAAUUACUAGUAAUCGUGGAUCAGCGUGCCACGGUGAAUGCGUUCCCGGGUCUUGUACUCACCGCCCGUC
rnacentral:rRNA from 1 species